UGCCCCCUGGCCCAGCUGGUUAAGGCGUGUGACUGUUAUUCACAACUAUCACAAGAUCGUGAGUUCGAACCUCACGGGGGCAG